rnacentral:rRNA from 1 species
CUUUUUGGAGAGUUUGAUCCUGGCUCAGGACGAACGCUGGCGGCGUGCCUAAUACAUGCAAGUCGAGCGGA